rnacentral:pre_miRNA from 1 species
UCUUAUGGAUGAACAAAAAAGGUGGUUUCUUGAGAUGGAAUCUACUCCUGGGGAAAUGCCUGUGAA